AGAGAGUCGUUCCAGUUCCAAGGUCCCAGUAGAGGUUAAGAUCAGCUCUCCAGAGCAAAGGAAACGGAACCUUUCUGAGAUGCAGAAAAGGACUCUGAGGCUCUAUGAGCAGCUGGAGGAGGUGAAGCAGCAGAGGGCCGUCCGCAGCCGACAGGAGGACAGUGCAAAGAACAGACUGAAGGCCAAGGAGUUCCACAGGAGGACGUUACAGAAGCUUCGUGCGAAGCAGACUCGACGGUUAUGAAGGAUCCAGCUCACUUUAAAUGUUAUAUUUAUUUCAUGAUUUUUUUAAUUUAAUAAAACCCGGAACGUUUUAAGAUCUGCCUCAAAAUAUUUAG